rnacentral:rRNA from 1 species
AUGUCCUCCUCCUUCGCUGUUCCCUCCUCCGGCCUAAACUACAACAUCUCCGAGCCUCUCACCAGGACGAACUAUGUUCUUUGGCGAGCUCAAGCCCGAUCCCAAAUACUGGGCGCCGGCUUGUAUGGAUACGUCGACAAAACCAUAGCUGAGCCUCCCAAGACAAUCAUCGCCAAGGAUAAAGAUGGCAAGGAUCAGGAGAUGCCAAACCCUGCCUAUGCCCCCCGGCUAGUCCAGGAUCAGCAAAUCGUUGCCUACCUUCUCCGAAACCUCUCCAAGGAGGUCCUCGUCCAGGUGGCUUCGCUGGAGACCUCGCAUGCAAUAUGGACGGCGCUCUCCAACAUGUUUGCUGCGGUCUCCCUCUCUCGCGUCAACAAUCUUCGUGCUGCCCUCACUAACGCCCAAAAGGGCACACAAUCUGCCUCAACAUACUUCGGCUAUAUGCAUUCCCUCUCUGACGAGCUCGCGGCGGCCGGCAGACCUCUUGGAGAGCCGUAA